rnacentral:rRNA from 1 species
CCUACGGGAGGCAGCAGUGGGGAAUUUUGGACAAUGGGGGCAACCCUGAUCCAGCCAUUCCGCGUGAGUGAAGAAGGCCUUCGGGUUGUAAAGCUCUUUUGUCGGGGACGAAACGGUUACGAUUAAUACUCGUGACAACUGACGGUACCCGAAGAAUAAGCACCGGCUAACUACGUGCCAGCAGCCGCGGUAAUACGUAGGGUGCGAGCGUUAAUCGGAAUUACUGGGCGUAAAGCGUGCGCAGGCGGUUUUGUAAGCCAGAUGUGAAAUCCCCGGGCUUAACCUGGGAAUGGCAUUUGGGACUGCAAGGCUAGAGUAUGGCAGAGGAGACUAGAAUUUCUGGUGUAGCAGUGAAAUGCGUAGAUAUCAGAAGGAAUACCGAUGGCGAAGGCAGGUCUCUGGGUCAAUACUGACGCUCAUGCACGAAAGCGUGGGGAGCAAACAGGAUUAGAUACCCUGGUAGUCCACGCCCUAAACGAUGUCACUGGUUGUGGGAUAUUUAUUCUCUUAGUAACGAAGCUAACGCGUGAAGUUGACCGCCGUGGGGUAGGUACGGUCGCGAGAUAAACUAACAANAGAGUAGACGGCGUGAGAGUGCCGACGGACGACGACGAGGGAGGUUAGG